rnacentral:rRNA from 1 species
GAUGAACGCUGGCGGCGUGCCUAAUACAUGCAAGUCGAGCGAACAGACGAGGAGCUUGCUCCUCUGACGUUAGCGGCGGACGGGUGAGUAACACGUGGAUAACCUACCUAUAAGACUGGGAUAACUUCGGGAAACCGGAGCUAAUACCGGAUAAUAUAUUGAACCGCAUGGUUCAAUAGUGAAAGACGGUUUUGCUGUCACUUAUAGAUGGAUCCGCGCCGCAUUAGCUAGUUGGUAAGGUAACGGCUUACCAAGGCAACGAUGCGUAGCCGACCUGAGAGAGUGAUCGGCCACACUGGAGCUGAGACACGGUCCAGACUCCUACGGGAGGCAGCAGUAGGGAAUCUGCCGCAAUGGGCGAAAGCCUGACGGAGCAACGCCGCGUGAGUGAUGAAGGUCUUCGGAUCGUAAAACUCUGUUAUUAGGGAAGAACAAAUGUGUAAGUAACUAUGCACGUCUUGACGGUACCUAAUCAGAAAGCCACGGCUAACUACGUG